GACGAACCGUGCGAACGUUAUUCGGAAUUACUGGGCUUAAAGCGCGUGUAGGCGGGCCGGCACGUCCGUGGCUGAAAGCCCCCCGGCUCAACCGGGGAAGUGGCGCGGAUACGACCGGCCUCGAGGGGGGUAGGGGGACCUGGAACUUCCGGUGGAGCGGUGAAAUGCGUUGAGAUCGGAAGGAACGCCCGUGGCGAAAGCGAGGUCCUGGACCCUUUCUGACGCUGAGACGCGAAAGCCAGGGGAGCGAACGGG
rnacentral:rRNA from 1 species